rnacentral:rRNA from 1 species
UGAACGCUAGCGGCAGGCCUAACACAUGCAAGUCGAACGGUAACAUAGAUUGCUUGCAAUCUGAUGACGAGUGGCGCACGGGUGCGUAACGCGUAUGCAAUCUACCUUUUACAGGAGAAUAGCCCAGAGAAAUUUGGAAUAAUGCUCCAUAAUAUCACUUAUCAGCAUUGAUUUAUGAUUAAAGUUCCGGCGGUAAAAGAUGAGCAUGCGUUCUAUUAGCUAGUAGGUGAGGUAACGGCUCACCUAGGCUACGAUAGAUAGGGGCCCUGAGAGGGGGAUCCCCCACACUGGUACUGAGACACGGACCAGACUCCUACGGGAGGCAGCAGUGAGGAAUAUUGGACAAUGGAGGAAACUCUGAUCCAGCCAUGCCGCGUGCAGGAUGACUGCCCUAUGGGUUGUAAACUGCUUUUAUAUAGGAAGAAACACUCCCACGUGUGGGGGCUUGACGGUACUAUAUGAAUAAGGAUCGGCUAA